GGGUCUGUAGUGUAAUGGUUAACACGGGCACUUGUCAGAUACUGAGUUCAAAUCCAGUCUGAUCCA
rnacentral:tRNA from 1 species